CGGCCUUCGAGAUUGGGGUGCUCUGGAAGUUUGAAAUUCAUCAAACAAGUAUAGGUCACCCCCAGUGUAGUAUUUUACAGCAACUUCAGGAGCAGGCAAUUUUUUCAACUCCUCUCCUUGUGCUUUGAUAAAUUUGUCAUAGGUCUCGUAUGCAUGGCUUUCUACACAUUCAGAAAAGUGAUAAGCCAUUCUUGGACUUAAUGUAUACAUAAAGACUGUCAUAAUAUAAUAGAUGAUCGCUAUAUGUUGAGCAAGAAACCGAUCAAACCACCAAUCAUUACCCCCCAAUUCUUCCAUGAUAAGUAAAUGGUGCAUUUCAUUCCAGCUCUCAGCAAAAUGCACUUUGAGAUAAUCUGCCCUUCUCCACCAACCAAAACUCUCAUACAUGUGCAGAACAGAUAUAAAAGCAAAAUAGGGAACUCUUGCAAUAGUUUCAAGCACAAAGAACCUUGCAUAAUCUCGGUCACGGUACAAAGCGUCGAGAAUCUUUAUCACUGAAUCC
rnacentral:misc_RNA from 1 species